CCCUUAGAUGUUCUGGGCCGCACACGCGCUACACUGAAGGAGGCAGCGUGUACUCCUGGAUCGAAAGAUUUGGGUAACCCGCGAAUCUCCUUCGUGCUAGGGAUUGAGGUUUGCAAUUAUCCUUCAUGAACGAGGAAUUCCCAGUAAGUGCAAGUCAUAAGCUUGCGCUGACUACGUCCCUGCCCUUUGUACACACCGCCCGUCGCUACUACCGAUUGAAUGAUUUAGUGAGGACUUCGGACUGGGACCGAUGCGGCUUUCGGGCUGCGUCGGUAUUCUGGAAAGAUGUCCAAACUGAAUCAUUUAGAGGAAGUAAAAGUCGUAACA
rnacentral:rRNA from 1 species